rnacentral:rRNA from 1 species
GACGAACGCUGGCGGCGUGCUUAACACAUGCAAGUCGAACGAUGAAGAAGAGCUUGCUCUUCGGAUUAGUGGCGAACGGGUGAGUAACACGUGACUAACCUGCCCCUUUCUCUGGGAUAACGCUCCAAAAGGAGUGCUAAUACCGGAUACUCACAUCGAGGCACAAGCCUUGAUGUGGAAAGUUUUUAGGAAAGGGAUGGAGUCGCGGCCUAUCAGCUUGUUGGGGAGGUAACGGCUCACCAAGGCGACGACGGGUAGCCGGCCUGAGAGGGCGACCGGCCACACUGGGACUGGGACACGGCCCAGACUCCGACGGGAGGCAGCAGUGGGGAAUAUUGCACAAUGGGCGAAAGCCUGAUGCAGCGACGCCGCGUGAGGGAUGAAGGUCUUCGGAUUGUAAACCUCUUUCAGUAGGGACGAAGCGAAAGUGACGGUACCUAAAGAAGAAGCACCGGCUAACUACGUGCCAGCCGCCGCAGUAA